AGUAGCACCUUUUGACUUUUCAACCAAAAUGGAUAUUUAUCUUCCUAUGUCGUCUCUUUCUUCAUAAUUCCAGAGAGCUCGACCAAAUAAGACCCCUAACCUCACCCUUAAGCUGUCCACAAGGUUAUCCAACAAGAUUAUCAUCCGAGGCACAAAAUCACGAAGCAAUAACACUAGAACGAUCCCCACGACACUAAGGAGUCGU